UACGUAGGGGGCGAGCGUUGUCCGGAUUUAUUGGGCGUAAAGGGCGUGUAGGCGGCCUGGUAAGUCGGGGGUGAAAACUCAGGGCUCAACCCUGAGACUGCCUUCGAUACUGCUGGGCUUGAGUGCUCUAGAGGGUAGUGGAAUUGCCGGUGUAGCAGUGAAAUGCAUUGAGAUCGGAAAGAACACCAACGGCGAAAGCACUCUGCUGGGCCGACACUGACACUGAGAGACGAAAGCUAGGGGAGCAAAUGGG
rnacentral:rRNA from 1 species